CCUACGGGGGGCAGCAGUGGGGAAUUUUGGACAAUGGGGGCAACCCUGAUCCAGCCAUGCCGCGUGAGUGAAGAAGGCCUUCGGGUUGUAAAGCUCUUUCGGCCGGGAAGAAAUCGCUCAAGCUAAUACCUUGGGUGGAUGACGGUACCGGAAGAAGAAGCACCGGCUAACUACGUGCCAGCAGCCGCGGUAAUACGCAGGGUGCGAGCGUUAAUCGGAACUAGUGGGGGCGACGCCAUCAGAGGCGGGGGAAAUCCCCGGGCUUAACCUGGGAACUGCGUUUGUGACUGUGGUGCUCGAGUGCGGCAGAGGGGGGUGGAAUUCCACGUGUAGCAGUGAAAUGCGUAGAGAUGUGGAGGAACACCGAUGGCGAAGGCAGCCCCCUGGGUCGACACUGACGCUCAUGCACGAAAGCGUGGGGAGCAAACAGGAUUAGAUACCCCAGUAGUC
rnacentral:rRNA from 1 species